UCCAGACUCCUACGGGAGGCAGCAGUGGGGAAUAUUGGGCAAUGGGCGCAAGCCUGACCCAGCAACGCCGCGUGAAGGAAGAAGGCUUUCGGGUUGUAAACUUCUUUUAUUCGGGACGAAGCAAGUGACGGUACCGAAUGAAUAAGCCACGGCUAACUACGUGCCAGCAGCCGCGGUAAUACGGAGGAUGCGAGCGUUAUCCGGAUUUAUUGGGUUUAAAGGGUGCGCAGGCGGCACGGCAAGCCGGCGGUCAAAUCGCGGGGCUCAACCCCGCCCAGCCGCCGGAACUGCCGGGCUAGAGUGGGCGAGAAGUGCGCGGAAUGCGUGGUGUAGCGGUGAAAUGCAUAGAUAUCACGCAGAACUCCGAUUGCGAAGGCAGCGCACCGGCGCCCUACUGACGCUCAGGCACGAAAGCGUGGGUAUCGAACAGGAUUAGAUACCCGGGUAAC
rnacentral:rRNA from 1 species